rnacentral:tRNA from 1 species
GUACCCGUAGCUCAGUUGGAUAGAGUGCUUGACUACGAAUCAAGAGGUCGCGGGUUCGAAUCCCUCCGGGCGCACCA